GAUGAGUGUGCAAGGCUCCGAGGGACCAUGUGUCUCCAUUUCCUGAGGACAACCUUGGUUUAUCUGUCAUCUCAGCAUCCUGUCUGAAUAGAACCUAUUAGAAAUCACACUCCAGUCGAGCAAUGGUCUCUCCAUAGCCUCAGUGGCUGCACAGAUGUUGCUGCCGUGCCGGGGAACCCCACUCUGGAGUGGCAUGGAGCACCUGCCUCCCUCGUAGAGUGAGCCACCAGCCCAGUGGAAAUCCAUGUGCUGCUUGUUUCUUCAAUUUCUUGUGGCUGAACCAAUGACGAUGACGGUUUCAGGAAAAGAAGAAGAUAGAAAGUCCUUCCAAGCCAUGACUGAGAUUUCUCAGGGACUUUAUUUGCUGGAUCUUCUACUGUCAUCAACUUUUUCUACUUCUUCAUGAAAAAGUAGUUCAUAAAUAAGAAGUGGGGAAGACCAUGCAUUAUACUACAGAGAUACAAAGGUUUUUAUAUAUUGAAGAAAAGGCAGAUAUAAGCACACUGACAAGUAAGCCUUUGGAUGGAGUGGUGAGGCCAGGAGCACCACGGGCUACUUCUCGAGAAGGUGAGCAUGACUGAUUAGGGUGUUUUUCCAACGGUAGUAACUUGACAUCUAAACAGGUCCUUUGGUGAUGAUAUUCCUAGUUCUUCUUUACUGUGUGCUUUUCAUUCAAAGGCAUUUAAGUACGAGAUGGAGGUGCAGCC